rnacentral:rRNA from 1 species
AUGAACGCUAGCUACAGGCUUAACACAUGCAAGUCGAGGGGCAGCAUGAAUCAAGCUUGCUUGAUUGAUGGCGACCGGCGCACGGGUGCGUAACACGUAUCCAAUCUACCCAUGGCUCAGGGAUAGCCUUUCGAAAGAAAGAUUAAUACCUGAUGGUUUCAUGAGCCCGCAUGGACUUAUGAAUAAAGAUUUAUCGGCGAUGGAUGAGGAUGCGUCCGAUUAGAUAGUAGGCGGGGUAACGGCCCACCUAGUCGACGAUCGGUAGGGGCUCUGAGAGGAGGAUCCCCCACAUUGGAACUGAGACACGGUCCAAACUCCUACGGGAGGCAGCAGUGAGGAAUAUUGGUCAAUGGGCGAGAGCCUGAACCAGCCAAGUAGCCGUGAGGGAUGACUGCCCUAUGGGUUGUAAACCUCUUUUGUUUGGGAAUAAAGUGAGCCACGUGUGGCUUUUUGUAUGUACCUUACGAAUAAGCAUCGGCUAAUUCCGUGCCAGCCGCCGC